rnacentral:rRNA from 1 species
UACGGAGGGUGCGAGCGUUAAUCGGAAUUACUGGGCGUAAAGAGUGCGUAGGUGGUUAAUUAAGUUAUCUGUGAAAUCCCUGGGCUUAACCUGGGCAGGUCAGAUGAUACUGAUUGACUCGAGUAUGGGAGAGGGUAGUGGAAUUUCCGGUGUAGCGGUGAAAUGCGUAGAGAUCGGAAGGAACACCAGUGGCGAAGGCGGCUACCUGGCCUAAUACUGACACUGAGGCACGAAAGCGUGGGGGAGCAAACAGG